GUACUGGACACUUAUAUAAGAAGCAGAAAAAAACAUAUGGAGGAAACCUUAGAGAUCUUGUACUGGCAACAUUUUUUCCCAGUGCAAUUUUCAUAAUUAUUUCUAAAUAAAUACCAUUUGACUAACUGUUACUUGGUAAAAUUAUAAUGUAUAAGGGAAAGAUGGAUUCUGGAUGCAGAUUGAUCUGGCUUUGAAAUUCUUUUCCUACCUAACAUUACAUUAGACAAAUAACAUUUGUCUCAUUAGACAUCAAUUGCCCAAAUGUUAUAUGAAAAGAAUAUUCUCUAAGCUAUUGAAAAUCGAAUAACAAUAUCUGACUAGGCUCUAGCAUAUUCUGUCAUACACAGUAGAUGGUCAAUAAAUACCAUUCAUUUUAUUAACACUGCAGCAAUGGUUCUCAAAGUGUUGUGUGGGGAUGCCUGAUGAUCCAUGCCAUCCUUUUAAAGGAUUAUGCUGCUUUCAUACUAACCUGCUUGCUAUGUGAAUUUUUCUACUGUCUUUCUCUCACACAGGUACAGUGGAGUUUCUUUGAGGCUACAUGGUGAGAGAAGAUGUCACCGCUCUGACAUACAUAAUAAUGUGUGUGUGUGUGUAUGCGUGUGUGUGUGUGUGAAGUUUUAAUUUUAAAUAUGGGAAAUAUAAAGAGACAUAAUAUUUAAAAAGCCAAUGGUUUGGAGGCUGUCAAUAUUCUUUAAGACUGCAAAAGUGUUCAGAGACAGAAUUUUGAGACUAAAACACUGUAUCAGAACUUUGAGACUGAAACACAGCAUCGUGUACAUUCAGAGUUGAAGACACUCCUGUGAGCACUCGAUGUGAAUGUGAGUGGAUAGUACAUGAUAGCAAAUGGCCCUGCCUUUAUUACCUGACUCACUUGUACCAGAAUAGCCCCAACAUCACUCACGCCUUAUUUACUCUUUAGGAAGUUAUUUGAACUCUUUCAGAAGAUUGACUUCUUGACAAUCCAGUAGUACUCCUGUUUCCAACAUUUCACAUUAUUAAAUGAAAAUGUAAGAAAUGAAGAAGGGAAGGAGAGAAAGUGGGAAGAAGGAGGGAUGCAGGAAAGAAGGGAAGAUGAAAAGAAGAAAAAUACCUUCUCACUCCCUCUUCUGCAAAAUCCACUCCAAGCAAUGGUAGUAAAAACUCAGCUGAAAAGUAGUAGAAAGCAAGACUAAAAUUGUAACAUAUACAACAAUAACACUGACAUCUGGCUGUCUUAGCCCAAGUAUGAAAUUAUAGAACUUAGCAGACAUGUUUAAAUCUUACAUUCUUACAUGCUUCUUCCAGACAUUAAAAGGAUAAUAUUGUUUGUGUUAGCUUACAUGGGAUACACAUAAAAUUAGAUAUUAGGUUUGUUAGGGACAAUUAAUUGAAUUGAUUAAAAUAAAGAAGCUUCUGAUCCA